rnacentral:rRNA from 1 species
CCGAUCCCAUGCCGAACUCGGAAGUGAAACCGCUUAGCGCCGAUGGUAGUGUGGAGCUUCUCCAUGCGAGAGUAGGUCAUCGUCAGGC